UACAGAGGUCUCAAGCGUUGUUCGGAAUUACUGGGCGUAAAGCGCGCGUAGGCGGCUCUUCAAGUCAGGCGUGAAAGCCCCGGGCUUAACCCGGGAAUAGCGCUUGAUACUGUUGGGCUUGAGUCCGGGAGAGGAUAGUGGAAUUCCCAGUGUAGAGGUGAAAUUCGUAGAUAUUGGGAAGAACACCAGUGGCGAAGGCGGCUAUCUGGACCGGAACUGACGCUGAGGCGCGAAAGCGUGGGGAGCAAACAGG
rnacentral:rRNA from 1 species